UUAUUUUUUACAAACACCGCGCAAUCAAAUUAGAGCACCCAUCAUGUCAACGAGCAAAUAGUAUCCACCCAGUUAAGGAAAUAAUCUACCAACUGAAAAGUUCAAACAAAGGGAAAAAAUUCCAUGUAUUUACUUUCCCAUGGCCAAAUCAUCGCCACAGUCCCGAAUUUCAUCAUACAAAAUUGAUGAAAGAAACAGUUAUUAACCAUCACAUGAAAGGAAAUAUGUAAACUUUAAAUUGUCAACAUAGGUAAGCUAUUAUUUAAAAACCAAGAACUUCAACUUGGAAGAUUUUUCUUGAGAGGAACACCACAUUCUCUCUCCAACUAUUCAAAAACAUUCAAAAAUUUUGUGAGCUCAAAUCUUUCCCCAACUGCAACCCUAAGCUCUUUGCUCAACAUAAGAGCCAGCAAGCCCACGAGUACCAAGAAAGAACGGCAACCCGCCUCCAAGAGACAUGAUAAUUUAGAAAAUUGAACAACUGACCAUGCAUUCAUUUGUAGGAUCACUUCAAAAGGAGGAGAAGAAAGCUCAAGGCUGGACAUGCUUUGAGCGGUCAUCCAGUCAAACCCAAGUUGUCGAAGGGGUCUGCAUUACUAGGAUAUCACUAGAUAGUGGUCAUCCAAUCUUCAAACCCAGGUUGUCGUACGUGGUCAACAUUACCGGUGUUAGAUUACCUAAUUAUAACUUCCACAACAAAUUAAUCAAACAUCAGCAUGCAGACACAGGCACAGCGGAGCACCCCAUAAUCUAACAUCAUGACGCAGAUAAUAAAAUGACUAUUGAUCCCAGUGAUUGAACUGUCUUCCAAGUAUCCAUCAUGACAACCAGUCCAGUACAACA